CCAAAGUCAUGGUUAAGUGGGAAACGAUGUGGGAAGGCCCAGACAGCCAGGAUGUUGGCUUAGAAGCAGCCAUCAUUUAAAGAAAGCGUAAUAGCUCACUGGUCGAGUCGGCCUGCGCGGAAGAUGUAACGGGGCUAAACCAUGCACCGAAGCUGCGGCAGCGACACUGUGUGUUGUUGGGUAGGGGAGCGUUCUGUAAGCCUGUGAAGGUGUGUCGUGAGGCAUGCUGGAGGUAUCAGAAGUGCGAAUGCUGACAUAAGUAACGAUAAAGCGGGUGAAAAGCCCGCUCGCCGGAAGACCAAGGGUUCCUGUCCAACGUUAAUCGGGGCAGGGUGAGUCGACCCCUAAGGCGAGGCCGAAAGGCGUAGUCGAUGGGAAACGGGUUAAUAUUCCCGUACUUGGUGUUACUGCGAAGGGGGGACGGAGAAGGCUAUGUUGGCCGGGCGACGGUUGUCCCGGUUUAAGCGUGUAGGUGUGUGUUCCAGGUAAAUCCGGUUCACUUUAACACUGAGGCGUGACGACGAGGCACUACGGUGCUGAAGCAACAAAUGCCCUGCUUCCAGGAAAAGCCUCUAAGCAUCAGGUAACAUCAAAUCGUACCCCAAACCGACACAGGUGGUCAGGUAGAGAAUACCAAGGCGCUUGAGAGAACUCGGGUGAAGGAACUAGGCAAAAUGGUGCCGUAACUUCGGGAGAAGGCACGCUGACACGUAGGUGAAGUGAUUUACUCAUGGAGCUGAAGUCAGUCGAAGAUACCAGCUGGCUGCAACUGUUUAUUAAAAACACAGCACUGUGCAAACACGAAAGUGGACGUAUACGGUGUGACGCCUGCCCGGUGCCGGAAGGUUAAUUGAUGGGGUCAGCGCAAGCGAAGCUCCUGAUCGAAGCCCCGGUAAACGGCGGCCGUAACUAUAACGGUCCUAAGGUAGCGAAAUUCCUUGUCGGGUAAGUUCCGACCUGCACGAAUGGCGUAAUGAUGGCCAGGCUGUCUCCACCCGAGACUCAGUGAAAUUGAACUCGCUGUGAAGAUGCAGUGUACCCGCGGCAAGACGGAAAGACCCCGUGAACCUUUACUAUAGCUUGACACUGAACAUUGAGCCUUGAUGUGUAGGAUAGGUGGGAGGCUUUGAAGUGUGGACGCCAGUCUGCAUGGAGCCGACCUUGAAAUACCACCCUUUAAUGUUUGAUGUUCUAACGUGGACCCGUUACCCGGGUUGCGGACAGUGUCUGGUGGGUAGUUUGACUGGGGCGGUCUCCUCC
rnacentral:rRNA from 1 species